UACAGAGGGUGCAAGCGUUGUUCGGAAUUACUGGGCGUAAAGGGCUCGUAGGUGGCCAACUAAGUCAGACGUGAAAUCCCUCGGCUUAACCGGGGAACUGCGUCUGAUACUGGAUGGCUUGAGUUUGGGAGAGGGAUGCGGAAUUCCAGGUGUAGCGGUGAAAUGCGUAGAUAUCUGGAGGAACACCGGUGGCGAAGGCGGCAUCCUGGACCAACACUGACACUGAGGAGCGAAAGCCAGGGGAGCAAACGGG
rnacentral:rRNA from 1 species